UAGGCAUAGUCUGUUGGUUACU
rnacentral:miRNA from 1 species